UGAUUCUUAUCAAAGAUGUUGCGUUUUUGAGUCUUGAUUUUGCCUUUGUUGGCACAAUUUAUUAAUCAAAGCAUUCUUUUUGAUUAGUAUAUUUUUUGCAGAGAUUAAUAUUGGUUCUUAACUAAGCUUUGUGCAUAAGACGUUUGAAGUUGCAUCAAUGGUUAUAUUAAUAUUCUUAGUGAAUCAGGAAGGUAGAUGCAGAAGUUGCCACAUUCAAGCUACAGAAAACACCAGAUUAUUCAUCGGUCAUUCCUACUAAAGCUUUUUUUUCAUCCGUAGGUUUCUUUUGCCUGAGAACAGUGGAGACUUAAAGAUGGAACAAAGUUUAUCAUUGUUAGCUGGAUAUGCACCAGAAAGAACAAUUUCACCGACGAAAAAGAAACAAUCAAUAGAUGCAUCAGCUGCUGACCUAACGGUCCUAACGUCAUGUUUCAAUGAAGCUGUUAUUUGUCAUGGGGCACUUAGCUAUCGAGAAGGUUGCAGUUGGGAAGACUAGAAUGUUGGUAUGGCUUGGUUUCACCAUUUAAAAGUUUUCAAACAAGUGCUUUGGAAAUGAUUCCUGAUUGUAGGAAAGGACGAUAACCACCAAUCCACUAUGAGCUAAAAGAAGCACAAUUGCGUAGCUGUGUAAAAAAAGAAUUACACAAGCGUCUAAUUUUAGCCAAUUGUAUAUUAAGUUGUUAAUCUUUCUCUUGAUUUAAAAUAUUACAAGUCAGACAUGUUUCGUAUGGAUGGUUGUCGUAUUUCUGGGAUAAAUCUUUU